rnacentral:rRNA from 1 species
AUUGAACGCUGGCGGCAGGCCUAACACAUGCAAGUCGAGCGGGACGGCGGGCGGGCGAGUAAGGCCUAGGAAGCUGCCUGGCAGAGGGGGGUGACGACCGGAUACGAGCGCUAAUAAAUCAUACUAUCAGACAGACGUAGGUAGGAUUAGCUAGUUGGUGGGGUAAGGGCCUACCAAGGUGACGAUCCGUAACUGGGCUGAGAGGAUGAUCAGUCACACUGGAACUGAGACACGGUCCAGACUCCUACGGGAGGCAGCAGUGGGGAAUAUUGGACAAUGGGCGAAAGCCUGAUGCAGCCAUGCCGCGUGUGUGAAGAAGGUCUUCGGAUUGUAAAGCACUUUAAGUUGGGAGGCGUUACCAACAGAAUAAGCACCGGCUAACUUCGUGCCAGCAGCCGCGGUAAUUC